rnacentral:rRNA from 1 species
UACGUAGGGGGCUAGCGUUGUCCGGAAUCAUUGGGCGUAAAGCGCGUGUAGGCGGCCCGGUAAGUCCGCUGUGAAAGUCGGGGGCUCAACCCUCGGAUGCCGGUGGAUACUGUCGGGCUCGAGUACGGAAGAGGCGAGUGGAAUUCCUGGUGUAGCGGUGAAAUGCGCAGAUAUCAGGAGGAACACCAAUUGCGAAGGCAGCUCGCUGGGACGUUACUGACGCUGAGGAGCGAAAGCAUGGGUAGCGAACAGG